rnacentral:rRNA from 1 species
CCUACGGGAGGCAGCAGUGAGGAAUAUUGGUCAAUGGGCGCGAGCCUGAACCAGCCAAGUAGCGUGAAGGAAGACUGCCCUACGGGUUGUAAACUUCUUUUAUAAAGGAAUAAAGCGAGGCACGUGUGCCUUUUUGUAUGUACUUUAAGAAUAAGGAUCGGCUAACUCCGUGCCAGCAGCCGCGGUAAUACGGAGGAUUCGAGCGUUAUCCGGAUUUAUUGGGUUUAAAGGGUGCGUAGGUGGGUUGUUAAGUAAGUUGUGAAAGUUUGGGGCUCAACCGUCAAAUUGCCAUUGAUACUGGCAGCCUUGAGUGCGGUUGAGGUAGGCGGAAUUCGUGGUGUAGCGGUGAAAUGCUUAGAUAUCACGAAGAACUCCGAUUGCGAAGGCAGCCUACUAAACUGCCACUGACGUUGAUGCUCGAAAGUGUGGGUAUCAAACAGGAUUAGAUACCCGAGUAGUC